GGGUAGAGUAAUGCGUGACCAACCUGCCCCAUGCUCCAGAAUAGCUCUUGGAAACGGGUGGUAAUGCUGGAUGCUCCAACUUGACGCAUGUCUUGUUGGGAAAGUGUUUAGUGGCAUGGGAUGGGGUCGCGUCCUAUCAGCUUGUAGGCGGGGUAAUGGCCCACCUAGGCUUCGACGGGUAGCCGGCCUGAGAGGGCGGACGGCCACAUUGGGACUGAGACACGGCCCAAACUCCUACGGGAGGCAGCAGCU
rnacentral:rRNA from 1 species